UUAGACUGGUGCCCAGAACGUGCUUUAAAGUGAUAGUCACCGCUUUGAAUGUGUUUGAAAUUGUUUCUCUCCAUCUGUUUUCUUAUGUGUGUAUGUAGCAGAAGUUGGACGAGGCUUGUGAGGUGCUCCAGUCUGUGACUGAGGGGAGAGGUCACUGAGGGACAGGUUUGAAGGUCUGAAGGAGAAACACAGGCAGAAACAGGAGCAUGAAGAGGCAGUGGAGGUGCACGUGUGUGAGCUGCAGAAAGAGCUGCGGGUGAAUGAGAGCAGUGUGGGGUCUCUGGAGAGGAUAUCAGCCCAGAAGGAGCUACAGCUGUUGGCUUUCCAGGACGAGAGGAGUGCCUUGAAGUCAGAUGGGCUGCACGGGGAGUUCCAGAACCUAAGGGAGCAGCACAGCAUCUUCCUGAGAGAGACCCAGGAGCAGGCACUCACACAGAUGGUUGAUGGGCUGGGUAGCCUCUAGAACACAGUGUCUAUGGAUGAGACUGUUUAACUGUGCGUAUAAAUGCAUGCUCAUAGGCAAGCUGAGGAAAAGAAAACAGUUGCUUUCAGAAAACAAGCCAUCUCUCACACACAGCACAUUGAGUCCACACAGAGCUGCAUCCAGGUCAGUAUCUCAGGAUGUCCUGUCCUUUAACCCAACCUCUGAAACAGAGAGUCCCGGGUCAGUCUUACAGUUUCCUUUGCAGAUAACGGAGGAGGGGGGAAGGAAGGAAGCUGAAGGAGAAUCUUAAUGAGUAGAAGG
ensembl:lncRNA